rnacentral:lncRNA from 1 species
CUCCCAUCUCAGCCCCACAAGUAGCUGGUACUACAGGCAUGAGCCACCAUGCCCAGGCUGGGAACUAAAGGGAUGUAUGAAGCACAGACUAAGAAAGAUUUGCCUCCCGGAUGGUCCUGAAAAGGCAAGGGAUGAUGGAUUAUUAUAUUAUUUAUUUUUUAAGGAGGGGUGGCUAAACAACAAAUAACAUUUUUAAAUGGGCAAAGUAUUUCAAAAGACAUUUCUCCAGAGAUAUAUAGAUGGCCAACGAGCACAUGAAAAGAUGCUUAACAUCGUUAACCAUCAUGGAAAUGCAAAUCAAAACCACAAUAAGAUGCCACUUGACACUAGGAUGCCUAUAAUCAAAAAGAUAAUAAAGUGUUAAUGAGGAUGGAGGGAAACUGGAACCCUCAUAUUGCUUGGUGGGAAUGCAAAAUAGUGCAACUGCUUUCCGUAAGUCUGGCAGUUCCUCAAAAGGUUAUCACAGCACCCAACAAUUCCAUUCCCUGUAUGUGCCCAAGAGAAACAAAAACACAUAUUCACUCAAAAACUUAUCACAAAUGUUUAUGGCAGCAUUAUUCAUAGAAGCCAGGAAGUGGAAGCAAUUCAAAUGUCUGUCAACUAAUGAAUGGACAAAUGUGGUACGUCCAUAAGAUGGAACAUUCAUCAUAAAAACAAACUCCUGAUACAUCCUACAACAGUAAGAACCUUAAAAACAUCCUAAGUAAAAGAAGCCAGUCACAAAAGACUACAUAAAUUAUGAUUCAAUUUAUAUGAAAUGUCCAGAAUAGGCAAAUCCACAGAGACAGGUUAAGUUGUUGCCAGGAGCUAGGGAGAAUGGGGAGUGACUGCCAAGUGAGUAUGCAGCUUCUUUUGGGGGCCAGUCCUUGUCAACUGAGUUGAUAUGCAGUGACAAAAAAAGCUCUUAAGGAGAGUGGGAUUAUGUGACGUGAGCCACUGUGCUGGCCUGAUUCCAUUAUUUAUAAUAGAAUUAUUAAAAACUCUACAGCUGGGAUAGAAAUACCCUUUCUUGGUUUAAGAUACCCAAAACACUAUAGCCCAGCUUUUCUGAGGAAGGCCACUGUUUAUUUCUAACUGAUUUUAUCUUUGGAUGUACCAUUUCUCCAAACUAUUCCACAGGGGAUAUAAGAAUUAUAUGCAAUAAAUCCUUUUUUUAAAAUUUUAUUUUAUUUUAUUUUUGAGACAGAGUCCCGCUUUGUUGCCAGGCUGGAGUGCAAUGGCGUGAUCUCGGCUCACUGCAACCUCUGCCUCCCGGGUUCAAGUGAUUCUCCUGCCUCAGCCUCCCCAAGCAGCUGAGACUACAGGCGCGCGCCACCAUGCCCAGCUAAUUUUUGUAUUUUUAGUAGAGACAGGGUUUCACCAUGUUGGCCAGGAUGGUCUCGAUCUGACCUCAUGAUCCACCGGCCUCAGCCUCCCAGAGUGCUGGGAUUACAGGCGUGAGCCACCGCGCCCAGCGCAAUAAAUCCUUUUAAAAGUGUGUAUAUCACAUUUUAGAAUAACUGAGAGAGUACAAUUGGAAUGUUCGUAACACAAAUGAAUGCUUGAUGUGAUGAAUACUCAAUUUACUCUAUCAAAAGAAAUAUGUCCCACAUAAAUAUAUACACCUACUAUGUACCCAUAAAAUGUUUUUAAAAGUUGAUAAAUAUGUUUUUUUCUGGAGAAAAAAUUUGUUUUUAAUUUUUUUAAAAAAAGGGCUAUGUGUGCUGGCUCACACCUAUAAUCCCAGUACUUUGGGAGGCUGAAGCGGGAGAGUCAUUUGAGCCCAGGAGUUUAAGACCAGUCUGGGCAACAUAGAGAGACCCCCAUCUCUACAAACAAUUUAAAAAAUUAGCCAGGCAUGGUGGCAUGCACCUAUAGUCCCAGCUACUCAGGAGGCUGAGGUGGGAGGAUCGCUUAAGCCCUGGAGUUUGAUGCUGCAGUGAGCUAUGAUCAUGCCACUGCGCUCCAGCCUGGGCAACAGCAACACCCUGUCUUAUUUAAAAAAAAAAAAAAUGUGUGCUGACUGGGUGGGGUGGCUCAUGUCUGUAAUAUCAGCACUUUGGGAGGCCGAGGUGGGUGGACUGCUUGAACUGAGAAUUUCAAGACCAGCCUGGGCAACAUGGUGAAACCAUUUUUUUUUUUUUUUUUGCCUAUAAAAUAUACAAAAAUUAGCCAGGUGUGGCGGUGCGCACCUGUAGUCCCAGCUAUUUGGGGAGGCUGUGGUGGGAGGAUUGCAUAAGCCCAGGAGGUGGAGGUUGCAGUAAGCCGUGAUGGCACCAGUGCCCUCCAAGCCUGGGUGACAAAGCCAGACCCUGUCUCAAAAAAGAAAAAAAAAGUGUUUAUAUUAUCCAGUAUAAGAAAGCCAACUAAAUAAAGCCUAUCCAUUUCCCCUACUGAACCAUCUUCAAUAUAUAAGGAACACAAAUGGUAUGAAACUAGCACAAAUGCAACCUAGGAAUACUUCAAUACACUAAAAAAAAAGUACAUCAAUACUUCAUGAUAACAUCAUUAAAGUGAAUUACUGGGCAAAAUGGACUGUGUUAUAUAAAUGCUUUGACAUACAUUCAUUACAUAAAUUGGACAGAAGAUAGAGAUGAAUAAUUCAGUUUUCUGUGAAAUUUUGCGGGGAAAUUUUAAAUUAUGAGUAAAAAUCUAACACUGACAGUAUGAACAUGGAUUUUUGACAACCCAGAAUUUGCUAGCAUAGCAGAUAGGUGAACAGAUUUACUAUAUUUAAGAUUAUUUUGCCAUUUAUAUAUAAAAUUAAAAUUUAGGCCGGGUACCGUGGCUCAUGCCUGUAAUCCCAGCACUUUCAGAGGCUGAGGCAGGCAGAUCACUUGAGUUCAGGAGUUCAAGACCAGCCUGGCCAAUAUGGUGAAACCCUGUCUCUACUAAAAAUACAAAAAUUACAAGCAGUACUGUAUGGUUAUUUUGAAGUUAGUGCUAAGAAGAAAAAUAAAAUCACGAAGUUAAUACAGCUCUAGUAUUUUUAACAUUUAAAAAAGUACUUUCAUAUAAAGUGAGAACACAGAACUUAUAUAUUACCCAUGUCAGUUAAAGCUGUUAAAAAUUGUCCUCCCUACCCCCUACAACAUGAAAUCUAGAGUGGUUUUUUGAAGACAGGGUCUUGCUCUAUUACCCAGGCUGGAGUGCAGCGCACCUUGAUCACAACUCACUGCAGGCUUGACCUCAUGGGCUCAAGUGAUCCUCUGGCCUCAGCCUCCUGAGCAGCUGGGACUACAGGCAUGCACCACCAUGCCUGGUUAAUUUUAUUUUUUGCAGAGAUAGGGUCUCACAAUGUUGCCAAGGCUGGUCUUGAACUCCUCAGCUCAAGUGAUCCUCCUGCCUCAGCCUCCCAAAAUGUUGUGAUUACAGUCAAGAGCCACUAUGCCUGGCCCUCUAGAUAGUGUUGCCUUCCUGUACUAUAUUAAGCAAAUUAUUAAAAUUCUCAAAACACUGAAAUAUUUUUUAUUUGUGUUUAAAAAAUUCAUUUUCAGGGCUGGGGGAGGGAUAGCAUUAGGAGAAAUACCUAAUGUAAAUGACGAGUUAACGGGUGCAGCAAACCAACAUGGCACAUGUAUACCUAUGUAACAAAUCUGCACGUUGGGCACAUGUACACUAGAACUUAAAGUAUAAUAAUAAAAAAAGAAAAAAAGAAAGUUAGUUUUCAGUUAUGGAAGGUUGGGCUUGUAAUCUCAACUACUUGGGACGCUGAGGCAGGAGGAUCAUUUGAGCCCCGCAGUUUGAGGCUGUAGUAAGUUAUGACUGCACCACUGCACUCCAGCCUGGGUAACAGUGAGACUCUAUCUCUUAAAAAAAUUAUGCUGAGAAUAUUUUCUGAGUUGUCACAUGGGUCUUGUGAUAAACUAAUAAUGCAAACUUUUAUUUUUCAUUAUAUAUAAAUAUUGGAUUUAUCCCAACCAAACUAGUUUGCAGGGAACCUCUGCCUUUAUUUCACGGCUGGAGAAUGAGAUACAAAAGAUGUCAAUUUCCAUCGUAAGAACUUUCCACAGUAGUGUUCUUUGGACAUUCUCUCCCUUGUAUUAGGCUCCUCAGAAAUCUAUCUCCAGACUGAAACCAGCACAUUCUGAUGAGAUCAUAGCUUAGUACUCAGAAAAAUCACUACUCAGUGGAAUUCUUGAAAUUUUGAAACAACUGAUUUUAGCAUACAGAAUUUCAAAAAGAACAUACAUUACAGCCAGAAACGAUUGUUUGCUCAUGAAUUUUGAUUAUUGGCAGACACAUUUGCUGUAGCGGCAACUGUGCAAGAGUUCAUUUUAACAGAAUAAUAUGUUCUGAAAUACUCUUUUAUAAUCAAUAUAAAAUUCUAGAAUGUUAAUUCCUAUAGCAAGAACUUGUGACAUUAUAAAAUGUGGUUUACCAUAGAAAGUCGCUAGAUUUCCCAUGUUUUCUUAAAAUUAAAUGUACUAAAAAAUCCAAAUGUAAUAGAAAAAUGCAAUCACAUAGGUGCUUUAAACAGACAUUUCUGAAUAACACUGCAUUCUAACUCAUGAGUACAAAGAAAUGUGUAUGCUAUUUAUACAUUUUCUUAGUGUUCCCUACCUUUGGACUCCAAUCAUUUUAACGUAUCCGUAUACUGGAGAUUUGAUCACAGUAUAUGGCACUUCACAAUAACAUUCCAUGUCCUAAUAAUGUGAAAUGCCUGUAUACAAUCUGAGUAUAUUGUUUAGUCAGAAAACAUCAAAAUUAAGGAUAUAGGACAUGGAAUGUCUGUUAAGUGCUGAGUUUUUCUGACUAGAGUUUAAUCUAGCCAGUGUUAAUGUGGAAGCUGUAUGCUUUUUUCAUGGGCAUGUUCGAAUUUUUUCUUUCAAAAUGUUUCUCAACUUUUUGAUGUGACACUUUGUUUUCUCCCAAGUCACUCUAAGGGUUCUAUCAACAUCUUUCUUUGAA